CGCGGCCUAUCAGCUUGUUGGUGAGGCAACGGCUCACCAAGGCAACGACGGGUAGCUGGUCUGAGAGGAUGGCCAGCCACAUUGGGACUGAGAUACGGCCCAGACUCCUACGGGAGGCAGCAGUGGGGAAUCUUGCGCAAUGGCCUAACGGCUGACGCAGCGACGCCGCGUGUGGGAUGAAGCUCCUCGGAGUGUAAACCACUGUUGCCCGGGACGAAUAGCUCGAUUAAUCGAGCCUGACGGUACCGGGUGAGGAAGCACCGGCUAACUCCGUGCCAGCAGCCGCGGUAAUACGGGGGGUGCGAGCGUUGUCCGGAAUCACUGGGCGUAAAGGGCGCGUAGGUGGUUUGAUAAGGGUGUGGUGAAAGUCCGGGGCUCAACCCCGGAUCUGCCGUGCCGACUGUCAAACUCGAGGACUGUAGAGGCAGACGGA
rnacentral:rRNA from 1 species